AUGGCGAAGGCAGCCCCCUGGGUCAAAACUGACGUCAUGCACGAAAGCGUGGGGAGCAAACAGGAUUAGAUACCUUGGUAGUCCACGCCCUAAACGAUGUCUACUAGUUGUCGGGUCUUAAUUGACUUGGUAACGCAGCUAACGCGUGAAGUAGACCGCCUGGGGAGUACGGUCGCAAGAUUAAAACUCAAAGGAAUUGACGGGGACCCGCACAAGCGGUGGAUGAUGUGGAUUAAUUCGAUGCAACGCGAAAAACCUUACCUACCCUUGACAUGGAUGGAAUCCCGGAGAGAUUUGGGAGUGCUCGAAAGAGAACCAUCACACAGGUGCUGCAUGGCUGUCGUCAGCUCGUGUCGUGAGAUGUUGGGUUAAGUCCCGCAACGAGCGCAACCCUUGUCAUUAGUUGCUACGAAAGGGCACUCUAAUGAGACUGCCGGUGACAAACCGGAGGAAGGUGGGGAUGACGUCAAGUCCUCAUGGCCCUUAUGGGUAGGGCUUCACACGUCAUACAAUGGUACAUACAGAGGGCCGCCAACCCGCGAGGGGGAGCUAAUCCCAGAAAGUGUAUCGUAGUCCGGAUUGUAGUCUGCAACUCGACUGCAUGAAGUUGGAAUCGCUAGUAAUCGCGGAUCAGCAUGUCGCGGGAAUACGUUCCCGGGUCUUGUACACGCCGCCCGUCACACCAUGGGAGCGGGUUUUACCAGAAGUAGGUAGCUU
rnacentral:rRNA from 1 species